rnacentral:rRNA from 1 species
UACGGAGGGGGCUAGCGUUGUUCGGAAUUACUGGGCGUAAAGCGCACGUAGGCGGCUUUGUAAGUUACAGGUGAAAGCCCGGGGCUCAACUCCGGAAUUGCCUUUAAGACUGCAUCGCUAGAAUUGUGGAGAGGUAAGUGGAAUUCCGAGUGUAGAGGUGAAAUUCGUAGAUAUUCGGAAGAACACCAGUGGCGAAGGCGACUUACUGGACACAUAUUGACGCUGAGGUGCGAAAGCGUGGGGAGCAAACAGG